GAAGUCUUUUCUUCUUUUUAAAGGGAAUGUGUUGCUACGAAUCAAACACACAACAAGCCCAUAGCGGUGAUGUAAAAGUGCCCUUUGCCUCCCACACUGGAGAAACAGAUGCCGGAGAGAAUCAAAGCACCCUCCUCUCUGAGAUCCUGCUCUCCACUGACUCACACUUCCUCCACACUUCUCUCACUCCAUACACUCUUAGGUCUCAGAGGACAGUAUUAGUUUAGUGUACAUAUACAUAUCUAAGCUCCUAAGUUGAACAGAUGCUGAAUCAAGGUUUCUCUAGUUUUAUAAUUUUGACUAUUGCAAGAUUGGUCAGCUAGAGCUUAUUCUAGACAAGAAUCAAUCAUUUUAGAAGAGAACCGUUCAUCUGAUCUAACCAACCAUAGUUAUUGUUUUAAGUGACCAAUAGUGGCACUUUUAUCUGAAAUGGAUGCUCCAGAUAACAGACAAGAAUUCAAGUAAGAGCAAGUUCAAAUAAUUGCACAACAGUUUCCAUGGUGGCACAGGGAUCAAAGACAUGACCCUCAUUUAUUUUAUUGUUAUUAUUAUUGUUUUGUACCUACAUCAGAAACACAUCUUGAUUUUUAUUUAUUUAAAAUGAAAUUUUUAGAGCAUCAGUUCAAAAAUGUCAGGGUGAUACAAUUGUCCUAAUAUCAUAAUAGGAAAAAUUAAAUAAUAGAAUACAGUUGUAUAAAAUAAUAAUAAUAAAUAAUUUGGAUUUUAUUAAGCAUUUAUAUUUGAAGAAAACAAUUGCCUGUCAAGUUCAAUAAGCCAAUAAACAUGCAGGAGAAAAAAACAUAAACCAAUAAAUGUUAUCAUAUAGAGGAACCUUGUAGACCCAUUUGACUGUGUGCAAGGACAAAAGGUCUCAAAAUAUCAUUUUGGCAAUCAUAUAGGUAAGAUUAGUUUAAGUUACAAAAAAAAAAAAGAA